CCCCGGGUCUCACCAUGGCGUUGACUUGCUGCACCGCGCGCCCAAAGUUGGUUGCCUGGAAGCCGGUGGUGCUAAAGGCCUCCAGAAGGACGAGGGGAUGGCUUCUAAGACGGAGUCACAGUUGGAGCCUCUCCGAAGGUGGGGCAGUGACUCCUGGGCCCUUCGACUACACGCGCACUGCCAUCCCCAUCUUCCCACUGGAUGGGGGUCUUCUUUCGCAUCCGGGGCAGACACCUCUUCCCUAGAGAGACUGUGAGACCCUUGGUAAGUCUGUCUCUCCUACAUCCUUCUAGCCAUGCAGAGAGGCCACAGGGGGCCCCUUCUUUCCUCAUGCUGUGUGUGGGGCGUUGUGCUGGGAGCUGAAGACUUACAGUGACCAAGAUGUGGAGCCUGCCCUCCUGGAGCCCACAGUCGGACUCGGGGAGGUGGAUAGAAACCAAGAGGAGUAAGUGAAGGAUAUGGAAAAUAACAACCCCCAGGGAGACAGGAGGACAGUGUGACCCAGGAGGUGGGGGGAGAAGGCAAACAGUGGGGCCCGGGCUCUGGACUUUCACCCUUUCCCAGCAACAAUGGGUUUCGAACUUUCGUAACUGUUUCCCUGAUUUGGGCUUUGAACUUGCACAACUGUUUUCCUGACUACCCAACCGAGGUACUGUGCAAUGAUUCCAGUCUCCCUUAUUAUGAUCCAGAUCUCACUUAAACACUGUAAAAAUCAGACAUCACACCCCACCCCGUAAUCAACCGCCAGUUUCUCCCCUGAAAAUAUGCCAUUCCGCUGCUUAAUAAAGAAAGCUUGCUUAUUCCUUGA